rnacentral:misc_RNA from 1 species
AAGGAUCAUUAACGUGGGGCUCCGGCCCCGCCGAGAUAGAACCCUUGCCUUUUCGAGAACCACACGUUUCCUCGGCAGGCCCGCCUGCCAACGGGGACCCAAACACAAACCCUUGAACCACCUGUAACAGUCUGAGAAAACAAAACAAAAAUCAAAACUUUCAACAACGGAUCUCUUGGUUCUG